rnacentral:lncRNA from 1 species
AUCUUCUCAGUGGUUCGUCUUUCACCUUGGCUUUAUCUCCUUUAGCAUCCCCUUCAAUCUUUGUCUUGGGCAUGAUGGCAGCAAUGGCAGUGGGAUGUAGGCACUUGGCAAGGGAUGCAGUGGCCCGUGGGCUUUGGUCAGCCCAGGGGGCAUUCUCACCCUUCUUAUUUGAUACCUCCAACUUUGUUCUUUUUGUUUGGAAUUGCUUUAGAUAUUCGAAGUCUCUUGUAGUAUAAUAUACAUUUAUGAUUUUUUUCUAUUUCUGUGAAAAAUGUCAUUGGUAUUUUCAUAGGGAUUACAUUGAACCUGUAGAUUGCUUUGGGUAGUAUUGUCAUUUGACAAUAUUAAUUCUUCCAACCUAUAAGCAUGGGGAUGUCUUUCUAUUUGUUUGUAUCCUCUUCAAUUUUUUUCAUCAAAGUUUUGUAGUUUUCCUUACAGCAGGCUUUCACCUUCUUGGUUACAUUUAUUACUGGGCAGUUUAUUUGUUUUGUAACUAUUGUAAAUGGGAUUGCCUUGUUGAUUUCUGUUUCAGCUAGUUCAUUGUAUGUGCCUACAAAAGCUACUGAUUUUCGUAUAUUAAUUAUGUAUCUUGCAACUCUACUGAAUUCAUUUAUCAGUUCUAAGAAUUCUUGGUAGAGCCUUUAAGUUUUUCAGUAUAUAAGAUUAUGUCAUCUGCAAAGAAAAAUUCGACUUCCUCCUUUCCAAUUUGGAUGCCAUUUAUUUUCUUCUCUUGGCAAUUGCACUGCACAAGACCUCCAGUACUACGUUGAACAAAAGCAAUGAGAGUGGACAUCCUUGUAUUGUUCCAGUUCUUAAGAGAAAAGCUUUUGGCUUUUUCCCAUUGAAUAAAAUGUUAGCUGUGGUUAUGUCACACAUAGCUUUUAUUAUAUUGAAGUACUUUCCUUCUGUACCUAAUUUACUGAGAAUUUUGAUAAUGAAGGGAUGUCGAAUUUAAUCAAAUGCUUUUGCUUCAUCUAUUGAGAUGAUGACACGGUUUUAGUCCUUUAUUCUAUUGAUGUAAUAAUGAUGUUUAUUGAUUUGUAUAUGUUGAACCAUCCUUGAAUUGCUGGCAUAAAUUUCACCUGAGCAUGGUGUAUCAUCUUUCUGAUGUAAUUUUGGAUUCAGUUUGCUAGUGUUUCACUGAGAACUUUUCCACCUAUGUUCAUCAGGGAUAUUGGCCUGUAGAUUGUUUUGUUGCUGUUCUGUUCUUGCCUAGUUUUGGUAUCAGGGUUAUGCUGACCUCCUAGAAUAAAUUAGGAAGAAUUCCCACUGCUUCAACAUUGCUGGAAUAACUUGAGAAAAAUUGGUAUUAAUUCUUAUUUAAAGGAGCAAUAGAAUUCAAUAGGAAAGCCAUUCAGUCCCGAACUUUUCUUUUUUGGGGAACUUUUUAUUACUAAUUCAAUCUCAUUACUUCUUUUGUGUGUGUGUAUGUGUGUGUGACUUACUCUGUCACCUAGGCUGGAGUGCAGCAGUGCAAUCUUGGCUCACUGCAACCUCUGCCUCCUGGGUUCAAGUAAUUCUCCUGCCUCAGCCUUCUGAGUAGCUGAGAUUACAGGUGCACACCACCAUGCCUGGCUAAUUUUUGUAUUUUUUCAGUACAGACAGGGUUUCACCAUGUUGGCCAGGCUAGUCUCAAACUCCUGAUCUUGUGAUCUGCUCAGCUCAGCCUCCCAAAGUGAUGGGAGUACAGGCGUGAGCCACCGUGCCCAGCCCAAUUGCAUUACUUCUUAUCACUCUGUUCAGGUUUUCUAUUUCAUCUUGGUUAAAUCUCAAGAGUUUGUAUGUGUCCAGGAACUUGUUCAUUUCCUUGAGGUUUUCAAAUUUAUUGAAAUAUAGUUAUUUUUAGUAGUUUUUAAUUAUCCUUUGUAUUUCUGUGAUAUCCAUUGUGACAUCCCCUUUUCAUUUCUGAUUUUAUUUACUUGGUUUUCUCUCUUUUUUAGUUAGUCUAGCUAAUUGUCUAUUUUGUUUAUCUUUUCAAAAAUCCAAAUUUUUGUUUCAUUGAUCUUUUGUAUUUUUUAGCUUCAAUUUUGUUUAUUUCUUCUCAGAUCUUCAUUAUUUCCCUUUUUCUACUAAUUUUGGAUUUGGUUUUUUCUUCUUUUGGUAGAUUUGUAUCUUUGUGCAUCAUCAGGCUGUUUAUUUGAAAUAUUUCUAGUGUCUUCAUGUAGGCAUUGAUUGCUAUAAAUUUGCCAUUUAACACUUCUUUUGCUGUGCCCCAUAGGUUUUGGUAUGUUGUGUUUCUAUUUUCAUUUGUUUCAAGGAAUUUUUAAAUUCCCUUCCUAAUUUAUUCCUUCACUCAUUGGUCAUUCAGAAGCAUGUUUUCUAACUCCCAUGUAUUUGCAUAGUUUUAAAUGUUCCUCUUGUAAUUGAUGUCUAGUUUAUUCCACUGUGGUCACAUAAGAUAUUUGACAUAAUUUUGAUGUUUUAGUGUUUUGAGACUUGGAAUUUCCUUGUCUCAAGGAAAUUCCUUGUGGGCAAAGGACAGAAUUCAAAGUCAUCCCUCUGAGGUUGACCUGAGACAAAUGGAUAUCUGAUUGUUUCCUCUGUCUUAUUCUUUAUGUAACAAUGCAGAUGCACCAAGCCAGACUAAAUUGUGUAUUCAGUGGAAAGCUGAUCGAGGACUUAAAAGAAUGCAACCUUUUGUCUCUUAUCUACUUCUGACCUGGAAGCCCCCACUUCAAGUUGUCCUGAAGUGUCUCAUGUCUCCCUGAAAUGCAUAAAAGCAAGCUAUUCCCCAACCACCUUGGGCACAUGUCCAAGCCUCAGGACCACCUGAGGCUGUGUCAUGGGUGCAUCCUUAACCUUGGCAAAAUAAACUUUCUAAAUUGACUGCGACCUGUCUCAGAUAUUUUGGGUUCACAUUAUUAUCUUUUCACUUUCAGAUGCAAGGCUCCCUUGAGCAUUUCUUAUAAAAUCAGGUUAGUGAUAGUGAAUUCCCUUAUGUUUUGCUUGUCUGGGACUUUAUUUCUCCUUUAUUUCUGAAGGAGAUAGCUUUGCUGAGUAUAAUAUUCCUAGUUGACAGGGGUUUUUUCCCAGUACUUUCAAUAUCUUGCCCCAUUCUCUCUUGGCCUGUAAUGUUUGUGUAGAGAAAUCUGCUCUUAGUCUAAUGGGGAUUCCCUUAAGUUUGACUUGACACUUUUCACUUGCUGAUUUUAGAAUUCUUUGUCUUUGACUGUUGACAAUUGGACUGUUAUGUACCUUGGAGAGGACCUGUUUGGGUUGAAUCUAUUUGGAAUUCUUUGAGCUUCCUAGACCUGGAUGUCCACCUUUCUCUCAAAACUUGCGAAGUUUUCUGCUAUUCUUUUAUUAAAUGUGUUUUUCUCACCUUUUCCCAUGUCUUCUGCCUCUGGAACACCCAUAAUAUGAAUAUUUCUUGGUGUAAUAGUGCCCUAUAAAUCUGAUAUCCUUGCUUCAUUAUUUCUUCUUCCUCCUCCUCUUCUUCUUCCUUUUCUUCUUCUUGUUCUCCUCCUCCUCCUUCUUCUUCCUCUUCUUUUCCUUCCUCCUCCUCUUCCUCCUCUUCUUCUUCCUCUUCUUCUUUUCCUCCUUCUCCUCCUCCUGCUUCUGCUGCUUCUACUUCCUGAGUUGUUUGAAAAGACCUAUCUUUCAGUUUAGAAAUUGUUACUUCUACUUGAUCUAGUCUUUUGUUGAAGCUAUCAAUUUCAUUUGUUUUAUUCAUUGAAUUAUUUAGCUCUAGGAUUUCUGUUUGGUUCUUUUUUAUGAUACCUUUUUUAUGAUAUCUGUCUCUUUGUUGAAUUUCUCAUUCAAAUCAAUUCAAACCAUGAAUUGCUUUCCUGACUUUAUUGAGUUUGUACGUCUGCAUUUUAUUGUAUCUCACUGAGUUUCCUUAUGACUAUUAUUUUACAUUUUUCUCCACCUUUCACAGAUUUUCUUAUAAUUAUGGACUGUUAAUGGAGAAUUACUGUUUUCCUUGCUUUCUAAUGUUUGAUGUAUCCCUACAUUAAUUUUACACAUCUGAUGGAAAAGUUGCCUUCAGCAAUUUUAUGGAGUAGGUUUCAUAGGGAAACCUCAUAGGUUUCAUACACUUAUUCAUAUAAGUGAGUUUGGGGGUAUCAGUUUGGUGGGGUGCACUGGCCUUUGUUCUACAUUAAUAAGUAGUGUGUUAUCCAUUUCUUCAGCUAUAAUCCACACUAGUGGCAUUUGUGAGUGUGUGUAUAUAUAUACACACACACAUAUAUGUAAAAUUGUGUGUAUGUACACAUAUAUGUGUGUAUAUAUAUACAUAUAUAUGCAAAAUUGUGUGUAUAUAUACACACACACAUAUAUACACAUAUAUAUGCAAAAUUUAAUGAAGCUAAUACUGUGACCACUACAGAGGCCCCCAGUGUGUCACUUCUAAUCAUAAUCUUUUCCUUCCCUAAUCAGAAAUAACCAUUAUGACUUUUGCAAAAUUCAGUUUCUUGCUUAAAAUUUUCCAUUUGUUUAUGCAUUUCUAAGUGAUAUAAUUUAGUUUGCCUGUUUUAAAAAUAUGUAAAUAGAAUCACACUGAAUGUGUGUGUGUGUGUGUGUCCUGUUUCUUUCAUCUAACAUUAUAUAUGUGAGAUUCAUUUAUGUUGUUAUGUACAACUGCAGUUAAUCAAUUUUUAUGGUGCAUGGUAUUCCAUUGUAUGAAUAUACCAAAAUUAGGUUGUUGUUUUUUUUUUCUGAGACAAGUGGCUGGAACUACAAGCAUGCAUCACCACACCUGGCUAAUUUUUGUAUUUUUAAUAGAGAUGGGUUUCAUCAUGUUAGCCAGGCUGGUCUCCAACUCCUGAACUCAAGUGAUCCACCCGCCUUGAGCUCCCAAAGUGCUGGGAUUACAGGCGAGAGCCACCAUGCCGGGCCCCAGCAUUAGUUUAUUAAAUAGCUAUACCAGCUUCUUUCAAUUAUAGUGUGAAUAAUACAUCUUUUUUCUUAUUUUCAUUUUAGACCUUUCUCUACCUUAUAUUUUGGAAGUACCUUUUGUAGAUACCAUAUAAUUGUAUUCUUAUGGUUUUGAUGUUCUUGUUAUCUAAUCUGAUAAUCUUUGUAUUUUAGCUGACAUAUUUAAGCCAUUUGCAUAUAAUAUAAUUAUUUUAUAUUUGGGCUUAAAUCUAGCAUAUUUUAGACUUUAUAUUUGUUAUAGCUAUUCAGUGUUUCUUUCUUCUCCUACUCCUUUUGUAAUAUUUUUUAUCAUUCCAUUUUUUUCUCUACUGAUUUCAAAUUAGAUCAUCUGAUCCUAUUCUUUUUUAUAAGAUAAAACAAUAUACUUUAAUGUAAUAAGGUAUGAAAAAAUAAUCAAUAUGCUUUCAGAUUUCAACUGCAACAAGUUUUUUUUUUUUUAAAUCACAUGAUUGGCUCCUCUGGCCACCAGACCCCAUCUUCCAAGAGUCACCUCAUUAGCACAGACUCCAGUAUGAUUGAAAGGGGCUUUUUAAAAUUAUUAUUUCAAUAAAUAUUUGGAGAAUAGGUGGUAUUUGGUUGCAUGAAUGAGUUCUUUAGUGGUGAUUUCUGAGAUUUUGUGCACCCAUUACCCGAACAGUAUAUACUGUGCCAAAUUUGUAGUUUUUUUUAUCCUUCACCCCCUUCCCACCCUUUCCCUUGAGUCCCCUAAGUCCAUUGUAUUAUUCUUUUUUUUUUUUAAACAGAGAUGGGGUUUCACCAUGUUGGCCAGGCUGGUGUCGAACUCCUGACCUCAAGUGAUCCACCCGCCUCGGCCUCCCAAAGUGCUGGAAUUACAGGCAUGCACCACCACACCUGGCCUGUGUCAUUCUUAUGACUUUCCAUCCUCAUAGUUUAGCUCCCACUUAUGAGUGAUAACAUACAAUGUUUGGCUUUCCAUUCCUGAGUUACUUCACUUAGAAUAAUAGUCUUGAAUUCCAUCCAGGUUGCUGCAAAUGCCAUUAUUCUAUUCCUUUUUAUGACUGAGUAGUAUUCCAUGGGAUAAAUAUACCAGAGUUUCUUUAUCCACUCGUUGAAUGAUGGGCAUUUAGGCUGUUUCCAUAUUUUUGUAAUUGCGAACUGUGCUACUAUACAUACGUGUGUGCAAGUAUCUUUUUCGUAUAAUGACUUCUUUUUCUCUGGGUAGAUACCCAGUAGUGAGAUUGUUGCUGAUACUAUUCUUUUAAUGGUUAUCCUAGAAAUAAAAACAUGAAUACCUAUUACUAAGCAAGCAAUGGACUUGCUGACUGAUGUUUACAGAAGCCAAUGUUAUGGCAGAGGCUUUUGAGAAAAGAAAGACUUUAUUGUGAAUCAACUGGCAAAAAGACAGAAAACAAUGCUCAAAUCUCCCCAAAAAAAUGCUCAAAUCUCCCCAAAAAAAUCUCCCCAAGCCAGGGGCUUGGGCAGGUUUUACAGGAAAAGGGUAAUUAGGUGUGAUCUAAUUGGAUCUUGCAAAGAGGUAACGCCUGGGGGUGUGAUCUAAUUGGAUGAUGCCAUGAGGUGAUGCCAGGGUACUAUCUAAUUAGAGCAUGAGAUGAGGUAAUCCCCAGGCUUGCUGCCAUAUUCAGUCCCUGUUCCUUCAUAUGAGAGGUUUGGUUCCACCUGUGGUAGACUUUUUAGUUCUGCCCGGAUCUGGAGUCAUGAAUAAGGCACAUUUGGUUCAUCUGGGCAUGCUCAGGUUAUGUGCCCUGCAUUCUAAGGUUUCACAGCAAUUGAAAAACAAUUCACCAUUUUAUUACACAAAGAUGAAUUAGAUUGAGCCAGUUCUAUGGUUACAUACUUAACAAAAUCUAAAGAUAUCCUCCUCCUAGACAAUGAAUGGACCUCAGAAAAAAUUUAAUUUCAUUUGCCCUUUUCCUAAUUUAUAUGUUAUUGUUGGAGUAUUAACUCUGUUUUUUUUCAAUCCUAUUAAAUAUUAAUGUUCAUCUUUUUCCUUUAGGAUUAUCUAGAUACUUCUCACUUUCAUUGCUCUUUACUUUUUCUUGCAUGUUAUGUCUUCCACUGGAAUUAUUUUCUUUUGCCUGAAGUAUACUCUUUUUUUUUUUUUUUUAACAGGAUGUCACUCUAUCACCCAAGUUGGAGUGUAGUGGCACAAUCGUAGCUCAUUGCAGCCUCAAACUCCUGGGUUCAAGCAAUCCUCCUGCCUCAGCAGCCCAAGUAGCAAGGACUAAAGGCAUGCACCACCACACCCAGCUAAUUUUUUUUUUAAGAGGCAGGGUGUGAUAUGGUUUGGCUGUGUUCCCACCCAAAUCUCAUCUUGAAUUGUAGCUCCCACAAUUCCCACAUGUUGUGGGAGGGACCUGGUGGGAGAUAAUUGAAUCAUGGGGGUGGUUUCCCUCAUACUGUUAUCAUGGUAGUGAAUAAGUCUCAUGAGAUCUGAUGGUUUUAUAAAGAGAACCCCCUUUUGCUUGGGUCUCAUUCUCUUUUUUUGUCUGCCACCAUGUGAGACAUGCCUUUCACCUUCCACCAUGAUUGUAAGCCCUCCCCAGCCACGUGGAACUGUGAGUCCAUUAAUCCUCUUUCUUUUGUAAAUUGCCCAAUCUCAGGUAUGCCUAUAUUAGUCCGUAUGAAAACGGACUAAUAUAGGGUGUCACUAUGUUUCCUAGGCUGAUCUCAAACUCCUGGCCUCAAGCAAACCUCCUGCCUCAGUCUCUGCAAGUGUUGGGAUUACAGACAUGAGCCACCAUGCCUCAUCAAGAAGUAUAUUCAUUAAAAUUUCAUUUAGUAAUGCUCAGCUGACAGUGACAUUUAUCUGAAAAUGCCUUUUUUAAAGGUCAUUUUUGAAAAAGGUAUUUUUUUGUUGCUUACAGAAUAUAAGAUUGGAAACUAUUUUCCUUCAGCAAAUUGUCUUCUUGUUUAAAUUGUUGCUGUUGAGAAGUCUGCUUUUCACUCUCUGAUAAUAUUUUGAAAAUAAUUGCUUUAAACAUUUUCUCUUGCCUUUAGCUAGCAUAAUUUUUAUUAGUAUUUGUUAUUUUAUCAUAUUUAUUUGAGGCUAGAUGAGGACGUCUUUGUACUUAGUGUGCGUCCCAUAUUUGUGAAUUUCUGAUUUUUAAUUCCAGAAAAUUCUCAGAUUUCAUCUUCUCAAAUAUUGCCUCUCUCAUUCUCUUUCUUUAGAACUCCACUUAUUUGUUAGAGCUCACUUUAUUCUCCUCACCUUCUUACCCUCCUUCUAUAUUUUGCAUCUCUUUGUGUCUCAAUAAUACAGGAUAAUGAUGCAAGAACAAAAUGAGAAUGUUAACAAAGAGAUAGAAAAUAUUAAAUAGGACCAAACAAUAAUUUAGUGACUGAAACAUACAAUUACUGAAUUGAAAAAUGUACCAGAGGCCAGGCGUGGUGGCUCAUGCUUGUAAUCACAGCACUUUGAGAGGCCAAGGCAGGCAGAUUACUUGAGACCAGGCGUUCAAAACCAGCCUUGCCAACAUGGUGAGACCCUGUCUCUACUAAAAAUACAAAAAUCAGCCAGGCGUGGUGGCAUGUGCCUAUAAUCCCAGCUACUUGGAGGGUGCAGCAUGAGAAUCACUUGAACCCAAGAGGCAGAGGUUGCAGUGAGCCAAGAUCCUGCCACUGCACUGCAGCCUGGGUGACAGAGCAAGACUCUGUCAAAAAGAAAGAAGGAAAGGAAGAAAGGAAGGAAGGACGAAGGAAGGAAGGAAGGAAGGAAAGAAGGGAGGAAGGGAGGGAGGGAGGGAAAGAGAAAGAGAAAGAGAAAGAGAAAGAAAGAAGGAUGUACCAGAGAGUUUCAACAGUAGACUUGGUCAAAUGGAAGAAUUAAUUAGAAAAUUCAAAAACAGGUCAUUUGAAAUUACCCAGUGAGAGGAGAGAAAAAAAAGAAUGAAAAAGAGUAAAUAAAACAUAAGGGACGUAUAAGCCACUGUCAAGUGGGCCAAUGGACACAUAAUGUAAGUCUCAGAAGAAGAAGGGGGAAGGCAGAGAGAAAGAAACAGAAAGUUUUUUUGAAGAAAUAAUGGUCUAACACCUCCAAAAUCUAGGGAAAGAAAUGGACACCCAGAUUUGAGAAGUUCAAAUAUCUCUAACUAGAUAAACUGAUGAAGUGCAAACCACAACACUUUAUGAUCAAAUUGGCAAAGGUCAAAGACAAAGACAACUUUGAAAGCAGCAAGAGAAGAGCAAGUAAUUACAUACUAGGGAGCUUCCAUAAGACAAUCAGCAGAUUUCUCAGCAGAAACUUUGUAGGCUGAGGGAAUGGAAAUUCAAAUUCUUAAAAAAAAAAAAAAAAAAAGCUGCCAAUCCAGAAUGCUAUUACCUAGAAAAACUAUCCUUCAAAAAUGAAGAAAUAAAGACUUUUCCAAAUAAACAAAAUCUAAAGAAGUUUAUUACUACUAGACCUGCCUUAUAAGUGUAUAACUAUAAAAUAUGUUAAUGGGUACACAUUAAAAAUAGAACUCAUGAUAUCAAUUACAGUUUACACAAAUGUAAUGAUUUGUGUAACUGAUGAUGAGGAGUAACAAUUACAUCAAAUACAUAUUACAUCAAAUAUGUAAUCUGUGACAGUAAGUAGAGGGGAAAAGUAAAAGAGCAGUUUUUUAUGUGAUUAAAAUUGAGUUGUUAUAAGCUUUAAAUAGACUGUUAUAACUAUAACAUGUUUUAUGUAAAUCCAAUGGUAACAACAAGGAAAAUAUUUGGCUGGGCGUGGUGGCUCAUGCCUGUAAUCCCAACACUUUGAGAGGCCAAGGUGGGCAGAUCACCUGAGGUCGGGAGUUUGAGACCAGCCUGACCAACUGGAGAAACCCUACCUCCACUAAAAAAAAAUACAAAAUUAGCUGAGUGUGGUG